rnacentral:tRNA from 1 species
UGGGUAGUUAGCUCAGUGGUAGAGCAUUUGCCUUACAAGCAAAUGGUCACUGGUUCAAAUCCAGUACUACCCAA